GUUCCGACCUGCACGAAUGGUGUAAUGAUGGCCAGGCUGUCUCCACCAGAGACUCAGUGAAAUUGAAAUUGCGGUGAAGAUGCCGUAUACCCGCGGCUAGACGGAAAGACCCCGUGAACCUUUACUAUAGCUUGGCACUGAACAUUGACCCUACAUGUGUAGGAUAGGUGGGAGACUUUGAAGUUGGAACGCCAGUUCUGAUGGAGUCGUCCUUGAAAUACCACCCUUGUAUGUUUGAUGUUCUAACGUAGGUCCCUAAUCGGGAUUGCGGACAGUGUCUGGUGGGUAGUUUGACUGGGGCGGUCUCCUCCUAAAGAG
rnacentral:rRNA from 1 species